AUGACGGGACCCGCACAAGCGGUGGAUGAUNUGGAUUAAUUCGAUGCAACGCGAAAAACCUUACCUACCCUUGACAUGUCAGAAACUUGGCAGAGAUGCCUUGGUGCCCGAAAGGGAAUCUGAACACAGGUGCUGCAUGGCUGUCGUCAGCUCGUGUCGUGAGAUGUUGGGUUAAGUCCCGCAACGAGCGCAACCCUUGUCGUUAAUUGCCAUCAUUUAGUUGGGCACUUUAACGAGACUGCCGGUGACAAACCGGAGGAAGGUGGGGAUGACGUCAAGUCCUCAUGGCCCUUAUGGGUAGGGCUUCACACGUCAUACAAUGGUCGGUACAGAGGGUUGCCAAGCCGCGAGGUGGAGCCAAUCCCAGAAAGCCGAUCGUAGUCCGGAUUGCAGGCUGCAACUCGCCUGCAUGAAGUCGGAAUCGCUAGUAAUCGCGGAUCAGCAUGUCGCGGUGAAUACGUUCCCGGGUCUUGUACACACCGCCCGUCACACCAUGGGAGCGGGUUCUGCCAGAAGUAGUUAGCCUAACCGCAAGGAGGGCGAUUACCACGGCAGGGUUCGUGACUGGGGUGAAGUCGUAACAAGGUAGCCGUAGGGGAACCUGCGGCUGGAUCACCUCC
rnacentral:rRNA from 1 species